CUAAGCAAANGCAUUAAGUGAUCCACCUGGGGAGUACGGNCGCAAGGCUGAAACUCAAAGGAAUUGACGGGGGCCCGCACAAGCGGAGGAACAUGUGGUUUAAUUCGAUGAUACGCGANGAACCUUACCUGGNCUUAAAUGUAGAGUGCAUGAGGUAGAAAUACUUCUUCCCUUCGGGGCUCUUNGCAAGGUGCUGNAUGGUUGUCGUCAGCUCGCGCCGNGAGGUGUCGGGUUAAGUCCCAUAACGAGCGCAACCCUUAUC
rnacentral:rRNA from 1 species